rnacentral:rRNA from 1 species
CCUUGCCAGCCCGCUCAGAAACUUAAAGGAAGUUGACGGGGCCCGCACAAGCGGUGGAGCAUGUGGUUAAUUCGAUGAUACGCGAGGAACCUUACCUGGGCUCAAAUGUAUGUUGACGUAUUCUGAAAGGGAUACUUCUUCGGACAAUAUACAAGGUGCUGCAUGGUUGUCGUCAGCUCGUGCCGUGAGGUGUCGGGUUAAGUCCCAUAACGAGCGCAACCCCUAUCAUUAGUUGCCAUCAGGUCAAGCUGGGGACUCUAAUGAAACUGCCUACGCAAGUAGUGAGGAAGGUGGGGAUGACGUCAAAUCAGCACGGCCCUUACGUCCAGGCUACACACGUGCUACAAUGGCCGGUACAAAGGGCAGCUACCUGGUGACAGGAUGCUAAUCUCAAAAGCCGGUCUCAGUUCGGAUCGGAGUCUGCAACCCGACUCCGUGAAGCUGGAAUCGCUAGUAAUCGUGAAUCAGAAUGUCACGGUGAAUACGUUCCCGGGCCUU